CAGUCGCCGCGGGAAUACGGAGGGUGCAAGCGUUAAUCGGAAUUACUGGGCGUAAAGCGCACGCAGGCGGUUUGUUAAGUCAGAUGUGAAAUCCCCGAGCUUAACUUGGGAAUGGCAGUGGAUACUGGCAAGCUAGAGUGUGUCAGAGGAUGGUGGAAUUCCCGGUGUAGCGGUGAAAUGCGUAGAGAUCGGGAGGAACAUCAGUGGCGAAGGCGGCCAUCUGGGACAACACUGACGCUGAGGCACGAAAGCGUGGGGAGCAAACAGGAUUAGAUACCCCAGUAGUCCCUGUCUCUUAUAA
rnacentral:rRNA from 1 species